rnacentral:lncRNA from 1 species
GUGCCAGUGGCGCGGUGCCAGGGUGCGAGGGUAUUGCAGGACAGCGGCAAUCUGCUGCAGCCUGGGACUUGACAAUGCGCCCCUUUUGUAGCGCGGGGCCCGUGGGCAAGAGGCCCGGGUAAUCGGAGGGCCCGCCCCCAGCGCGUCAGGCCUCCUCCCGGGCGCUCUUGGGCUGGGAGCCCGGCGGCCCCGGGUGCUCCCGGCUGCACGUGCUGCCCCAUCCGCCGCCCUCGCCAGACAAAGCGGGGCCCUCCCGGCCGCGUUUCCCUGGCGCCCUCCUUCGCUCGACCGACCCUUUGAUUUCAUACUCUCGUCUUCAUCUCGCUCGACCCAGCCCUCACAGCUGUCUCCUGGAGCGCCUUCUGUUUUGUGCUUGCCACCUUAAGCUUGGCCUUCACUCCAGAGAUUUGCCUUCAAAACCGACUCCGUUUGACCUUGCCCCUCCCCCACUCUGUCAUCUCCUUUGCCAGCUUAAUGCUUUUGUUGUGAGGGCGACUGCUCUGCCCUACCUUUUGUAUUGUCCGCUGGCUCCCCUACCUAACACAACCUACUUUCUGUCCUCAGCCUUUUCAAGACUUCCCGAAACCCCCUUAACAUCUCUGCCUUUUUCUCUCAGGAGACUGCGAUAGCAGAGGGGAAGUCGCCAAUGGCUACCUGGAUCGAGUCCCCUUUGUAUUUCGUUCACAUCACCCUUUUUUCUUCCACCGAGACACCGCAUCCUUUGGCUACCGUCGGUGGCGCGGUGGUGGGAGUGUAAGAGGAGGUCUGCUUCCGCUGCCACCAUUACCUGUUUCUUGGAUGGUUAAGCUUGAGUAAAGGAAACUUCUGGAAAGUGGCCAAAGACCCUUGACAUGCCCCCCGCAGAGGAAACAUCGCUGACGUCAUCUCUGCUUGUCCACUCUGUGCUUCAGUCAAGCCCAAGGCCAUCCCAGCGGCAAACUUUUGCUGCCCUCUCCCAGAAUGCCUGCUGAAACUGCCUCCUUGAGUCUGAAGGGGACCAGUGGAAACUUUGGGGGACAUAUUUUCGGGAGGCCAAGGCUCAAAUUGCCUGCCCAGGAACACAGUCAAGGAAGUGCUUUGGUCUAUUCUAGGCUUGUGGUCCAACACCAGAGACAGCUUCCUUGUAAACUCGAAGAGGUUGAUCAUGGGUCUAUUAUUUGCAUAGUGUAUCUUUGCAUCUGCAUUCACUUAAUAUCCAAAUGCUUAGAAAACUGCCAGCCAGUUUUGUGGCUCUAACAAGGCAGUGUCUUGUUCUUUGAAAGCCUCCGAGUAAAAACAGUUUAUAUGUGCUUUGGAAGUGCUUGUCUGAAAUCUAAAGUUAACCUCUGUUUGUAGUCACGUCUUCUGGAUUAGUUACAGUACCCUGAACACUGAGCAGAGGACAGAGGGAGUAGGGUUUUGUUUUUCUCAGUCUGGAAAAGCCCAUCCUUGCUCUGUCUGUAAGCAUAUCCUUCUGGGAGGAAAAUGUUAUCAGCAAUAUUCCGAUGACCUGGGAUGGGGCUGAGGAUCAGGAAGGGAGCCCAACAACCCGAGGAUCGUUUUUGUGUUUCUUUUGGUGUUAAAUUGCUGUCUUGUUGAUGGAGGAAGGUAAGAAGGGGUGGAGACCCGGCUCGGUGGAGUUGGGAGGAGCAUGGGCAGAGUCAUGUGGGCUUGGCUUCCUUUCCUUCGAUCUCGCUUACCCAGUGAGCUAGAGAGAAUUUGCAACCACCUUCAACUAGAGAACAAUCUGCAAGCCAAUCUGCCCUGGGCACUGCCUCCGGGAACUUACACUCUCACAGAUAACACAAGUUCUGCAAACAGAUGUGUGGAGGGGUGUGGGAUGCAGCAGUGGGGAUUUUUCUGGUAAGCAGUAGAAAGGAUUUUCUCAUAACUAGAGAUCUCAACUGUGACAAGGGCUGGGCUUCCUUAGGUAUUUAUGGUCAUAGAUAUGGACAGAGAGUCUAGGCUAGAUGACCACCCAUCAGAAAUCCUACAGUGCAUGUUCCUGGGCUGGGUGAGGGGCGAACUGAUGACCCCUGUGGUUCCCUUCUAAUUCUAAGAGCCCGCCAUUUUCAAAUAUAUUAGUGAUCCUAGGCAGUGUGCAAUGAAUGGCGUGAACUUUAGAGGGAUUCUCUUCACUGAUUAGCUGUUGAGUGUGUACUUUGUCCUUUGGCUAGAUGCUACGGGAGAUCCAGAGAUGUGAAGAAUGGGGUUCAAGAUCUUUGCAAAGGCCACUGCCACUCAGGGCAACCUGAGGCAGAAGGGUUCCAGGCCAGAGUGAGAGUCUCCGUUUACUUUUCAAUCAAAGCCCAGGGGUCAGCAUCCUCUUAGGCCAUUGCCCUGGGAUUUGUUUCUUCCUGAGACACCGGAUUGAAAGAUUUCUAGGGCUUUUGAUCUGGAGGAGAGAGGGCAGAAAAGACACCCCGCAUGGAUCCAGAGAGACGUGCUGAGGGAGUGAGGCCAUGUCUGGCAGGGUGAAAGCCGGGUGAAGAUACAGACCCCCCCACACCCCCGUCCCCACCGCCAUCGGGAUAUGCUGGGAUGGGGACAGGAAUGAGAACUGGGAGGAAAAUGAGGUGGAAAUGAAUGGGCCCCUGUAGGAAGAGGUAAUGAGGUGAAUCAGAAAAAUCUGUCACUGAGAUCCAAGGAGAGACCAGGAGGUUUCAUCUCCCUCGGUCUUUUUAAAAAAUGAGCCGUGUCAGUUAGAGGAUUUGGAUUGAUGAAGACAGAUCUGUUUCCUUGGCUCUUACCAGGAGGCUAGGAAUGGAGCAGGUGGGGGCUUUACUGUGGCUGCUGAGAGAGAUGUCGCUACCCCAGCCCUUGGGCAGCCCGGCACCAGCUCAGGGCCCCAUCUUUCUUUUCCCACCUUUGGCAAAAGGAAUCCUGCUAAGCCCCUAGAACUCCUUCCCUGGCCAGUGCUAGGCACCCCGCAUCCCCUCCCCAUCAGCAGACUCCUCAGGAAGAGUCUGGGCACCUGUAAGCCAGGGAGAGUGGUGGGGUGGGGGGGGGAAUCCCUGCUCUGC